GGGGUCUUAGCUCAGCUGGGAGAGCGCCUGCCUUGCACGCAGGAGGUCAGGAGUUCGAUCCUCCUAGGCUCCACCA
rnacentral:tRNA from 1 species